GCUGGUAUAUACCCUGACAGGAUGUAGGUCCACCCCAGAACAUAAGGCUGGAAUAUAUCCUGACAGGAUGUAGGACCAUCCCAGGGCAUAAGGCUGGUAUAUACCCUGACAGGAUGUAUGUCCACCCCAGAACAUAAGGCUGGAAUAUACCCUGACAGGAUGUAGGUCCAACCCAGGGCACACACUCACCAUGGGCAAUUGGGAGACACCAGUUAGCAUAACACAUGCAGCCAUGGCGGACACUCGAACCCUGGUCUCAAAGGUGUAAAGCAACAGUGCUAACCCAGCAGAGUUUAUAACAAAUGCAAGAUCUCCAUCUAGUGGGCAUUUUCAAAACUUCUUUAAAUAUCAGAUUUAACAGAUUGUAAUGUAAAUUAGGCCCAAAUAAUAAUUAUUUGUAUUUUUUAUGAUAAUUAUAAAUACAACAAAAUGCAACAAAUGUCCAUACAAUGUCUGAAAACUAACAACUACAUUUUUGUGACCGACAUAAAACAAAGUUAUUUUUUCAGUGAAUAUGAGGACGAAAUGGUUUUUACAUUAAAGUUUAACUGCCAUUCAGUUUAUUAUGUGCAUCUAUGUAUUUUUUGUCAUUUUGUACCACGGAAAGAAAUCAAACAAAUGCCAACAGCAACACUAUUGUGAGAAUUGUGAUGAUUGAUUAUAUUUGCAAAACAUGUAAAUAUUUUCAACAUUUACAUUUUUCAUGCUGUCAUAUUCAAGGUGAUCUUUUUCACUGCAUAUGCGGUGUAUGUGAGUCUUCCGUCACACCAUCAUUACAUGCACAGAUAAAAUAUAUGAAGCAUUUUACAACUUGAAAUGUUAUGUUUAGAAAGUGAAGCAAAUGUAAUAGUUUUUCUAGUAUUAAAAUUGGUGGAUUUAAAAUUG